rnacentral:misc_RNA from 1 species
CCGAAACAGCCCCUCAAAUUCUUCAGACGACUGAAGAAGAAAAACACAUUCUAGUGAUUAUUUAUCACACCUUAAUUAUGCACUGUUAGGUUUGGGUGAUUCUAACUAUACAAACUUCUGCAAUGCAGGUAAACUUUGGAUAAGAGACUUGAAGAGUUAGGGGCCAAGAGAUUUUAUUUAUCAGGCUGGGCUGAUGAUGCAGUGGGUUUAGAACAAGUAGUAGAACCAUGGAUUGAGGGGCUUUUCCCAGCACUCCUCAAAUUCCUAUCUUUCAACUGUCCAGAUUUGUCAGGCACUAGUCAAAUAACAGAAAUCUGUGAAAUUGAAGUAGAAAGAAGUCACUUUGAUAAAGAUGGAGAAUCCAGUGAUAAGAAAAUUGAAACUAAAAUUACUGAAUCAAACGGUCAUUUUAAGGAAAAAGAAAGUCAAGCAAAGAAUACCACUGAUUCAACUGAACCAAACAGUGAUAAGUUUGAAAGUGAAUCCUCUUCAACUAUUAGUAAUGGUAAAGGAUUGAAUGAAACAGAAGACUUAGUAAAGCACAUUGAAGGUAUAACCUUAGAAGAAUCAACAGAACCAUCACUCAGAAAGUCAAUUGCACCUCUCUGUGAUGCUGCAGUCACUGUUCCUUUACUUCCAGCAGCCUACCUCUCCAUUAAUUUUGAUAUUGAUCAAGAUAUGAAACCAUCUCUUCUUCCAUCUAAUUCAUCAGCUGUGACAACUAUUUCAGAGGCAACAGUUAUUCGAACAGAUAUUUUGACUUCAAAAGAAGCACUGAAGAAAACAUUAAGACUUAGACUAAAAAUUGGUGAAGAGUUUGAAUACCAGCCAGGAGAUUCUGUUUCAGUUUACUGUCAGAAUGAAGAGAAAGAGGUGGAAAUGCUGCUAAAGAGACUAAAUGUUCUAGACAAAGCUGACAUUAUCUGCCAAAUAGAACUGAUGAAAGACACCAAGAAAGCCAAAGCGGCCAUUCCACUCCACAUUCCUACCAUUACCACCCUCAGGACCUUAUUCACAUACAAUAUUGACAUACGAGAACCUCCCAAAAAAGCUGUGAUCCGACAACUUGUCGAAGGAACAACAAAUCCACAGGAAAAAAGAAGGCUGCAAGAAUUGUGCAGUAAACAGGGAAUGGGUGACUACACAAGCUUUAUUAGGAAUCCUGAAAUCAGUAUCUUAGAUCUCCUCCUGGCAUUCCCAUCCUGUAAUCCUGAUGUUGACAGGUUGAUCGAGUCUCUUCCUAAAUUACAACCAAGACCUUACUCAGCCUGCAGCUCACCUCUGAAGACACCGCAACACCUAGACAUUGCCUUCAAUGUGAUAAAUAUUCCUGAGGGCGAUGGCAGGAGUUUUGCAAGGCAAGGAGUAUGUACUGGUAUGUUGGAUAGGGUGACAAAUCAGAAUCAAAUCAGGGAAGAGACAACAGAAGAUGGGACUAAUACGGAAAUCUUCCAGUUACAGAUUUCCGCCAGACCUAAUCAGUAUUUCCGCUUGCCCAGUGAUGUGUCUAUACCACUCAUUUUGAUUGGACCAGGGACAGGAGUGGCACCAUUUGUCGGCUUUCUUCAACACAGGGAGAUGCAGAAAAACUCAGCAGAAUUUGCUGACCAAGCAUUCGGAGAAAUAUUUCUUUUCUUUGGUUGCAGGAACAGGUCACAAGACUUUUUAUUCAAAGAAGAGCUGAUGAGACUACAGAAAGUGGAUAUUUUAAGUAAACUCUAUGUCUCAUUUUCUCGUGAAGCCAUAUCACAAGAGGAUCCAAAGUAUGUCCAGGACAAUAUCAAAAGUAAUGCUGAGCAGGUACUCCAAUUGAUUUACAAUCAGAAAGCAGUGAUAUAUGUAUGUGGAGAUGCCAAGAACAUGGCCAAAGAUGUGAAUCAAACUUUUAUGAAAAUAUUGCAAGAGAAGAAAGAAAUGACAGAGAGUGAGGCAAAGUCUUUCAUCACCAAAAUGAGGUUGGAGAGGAGAUAUUUAGAAGAUGUUUGGACGUAACUUUAAAAUGAAACAUCGGAUUCCAAGAAUAUGGCAUGUUGUGAUUCUGAAUUAUUCUUACCGAUAAUUAUUUUGAAAAUGUUGAAUUAAGUAGAACUUUAAGUGGAAUUCAUUCUAGUAGUUGUUGCAUUGAUGUAUAGUUCUAAUGUUAUACUGUUGUACAAUGUAUAACAGUUAAACAAUUCUUUUGUUUAAUCUUUAUGAUUUUAGAUACUCCUUUUGCAAUAAGUAAACAAGAUUCAUUUACUCUUAUGAAUUCAAUAGGCUGACAGUGGGCUAAUAUCAGUGCUCAAAAUUUUAUUUUGUUUGUUUAAUCCAUACCAGCUACAUUUGGGUAAAAAUUAUUUUUAAGAAUUACUUUUUAUUUCCUUAUAACCAAAAUUCUGUUGAAAUGAAUUAUAAAGAAAUAUAUCAAGCCCUUUAAAUAGUAAUUACAUGUACAUGUAUGUGUGACUGCAAUUAUUUUUAGUUCCAUGCAGUCUCUCUCAAGCAAUCUUUCUUAAAAAUAUGCAUGUUGUUGUUAUUAAUAGAAACAACAUGGUUUUUAUUUGAUGAUGUAUGAAAACCUUUAACCACGCGUGUGUUAAAAGCUUUGUUUAUUUAUAAACCAGAUAGUUAAUCAUGUUUUCAUUUCUUGACCAUUUAGAUUUUAUCUUUGAACAAAUAUAAAAUCAUGUAUCAGAUAUUCUAUUGUUAUCAAUUUCUCAUGAAUUAGUUUUCAAUAAAAAAUUAAAC